GAAUUCAUUGAAGAGUUGCUGUCUCCCCCUUUUGGGGGUUUAGUGGCAUUUGUGAAGGAGGCUGAGGCUUUGAUUGAGCGUGGACAGGCUGAGCGACUUCGAGGGGAAGAAGCCCGGGUAACUCAGCUGAUCCGUGGCUUUGGUAGUUCCUGGAAAUCAUCAGUGGAAUCUCUGAGUCAGGAUGUAAUGCGGAGUUUCACCAACUUCAGAAAUGGCACCAGUAUCAUUCAGGGAGCGCUGACCCAGCUGAUCCAGCUCUAUCAUCGCUUCCACCGGGUGCUGUCCCAGCCGCAGCUCCGAGCCCUCCCUGCCCGGGCUGAGCUCAUCAACAUUCACCACCUUAUGGUGGAGCUCAAGAAGCAUAAGCCCAACUUCUGAUGUGCCAGAAACCGCCCUGAGAUCUGCCGGUCAUCUCCAUGGACUUCUGCACCCCAUUCCAUACCCUUCUUCACCUGGGGUACCCCUUCCAGUUUUCCCCUUGCUUCCCAGGCCCUUGACAUGGCUUACCUGCCUUCACUCCCAGCACCUUGCCCAACAGGAUAAGCUGGAUCCCCUUGGCCUUCUGAAUAUCCCAGUGUCUUCAGGUUUCCCAAGACCACUUCCCUGUGGGCUU
rnacentral:misc_RNA from 1 species